UACGUAGGUGCCAAGCGUUAUCCGGAUUUAUUGGGCGUAAAGGGAACGCAGGCGGUCUUUUAAGUCUGAUGUGAAAGCCUUCGGCUUAACCGGAGUAGUGCAUUGGAAACUGGGAGACUUGAGUGCAGAAGAGGAGAGUGGAACUCCAUGUGUAGCGGUGAAAUGCGUAGAUAUAUGGAAGAACACCAGUGGCGAAAGCGGCUCUCUGGUCUGUAACUGACGCUGAGGUUCGAAAGCGUGGGUAGCAAACAGG
rnacentral:rRNA from 1 species